rnacentral:rRNA from 1 species
AUUGAACGCUGGCGGCAUGCCUUACACAUGCAAGUCGAACGGCAGCACGGGAGCUUGCUCCUGGUGGCGAGUGGCGAACGGGCGAGUAAUACAUCGGAACGUACCCUGAAGUGGGGGAUAACGUAGCGAAAGUUACGCUAAUACCGCAUAUUCUGUGAGCAGGAAAGAGGGGGAUCGCAAGACCUCUUGCUUUAGGAGCGGCCGAUGUCGGAUUAGCUAGUUGGUGAGGUAAAGGCUCACCAAGGCGACGAUCCGUAGCGGGUCUGAGAGGAUGAUCCGCCACACUGGGACUGAGACACGGCCCAGACUCCUACGGGAGGCAGCAGUGGGGAAUUUUGGACAAUGGGCGCAAGCCUGAUCCAGCCAUGCCGCGUGAGUGAAGAAGGGCCUCGGUUGGUUAAAGGUACGUCUUUCGGUUCGGGGUAAGGAAAGUUAAG